GCAGGGAAAAAGUUAUCCAAAUCCUAUCACUGUCCAGAGAAAUUAUACGAUUUGAUGCUAAAUUGCUGGAAUGCGGCAAAUGAUAGACCAAAAUUCAUGAGUUGUCUCGAAACUAUUGUAACCUUAAGAAACGAAAUAGAAGACACAAUCCUGCACUCAUCUCCGCCUUCUGAAUAUCGUCCGACAGCGGAUUUUCUCUGAAGCACAGCCAAUCGUAUUUGUAUUUUGAACUUUUAACUGCGAAUCAUGCUUCAAACAAUAUCAUAUAGACAUAAUUAGUUUUUUGUAUGAACAAUUUUUGAGAUCUUUGAUCGUCAUUAAUAACACUGUUCAGGAAAAAAAACACCGGUACGAGACUAGAUGUUUCUUAUAGUAUUUUUGAUGCUCAACACGAAUCUGUCUGAAAAAUUGCUCCAUCACGGCACAAUUUAAAAAAAAUUGCAAUUGUAAGAAAGUGCUAUUUUUUCGAAUUUUGUCAUAUUAUAACUACAAUAUAUGUGACGUACUAAAGAAGUUUUCUUGCCAUUAUACAAAGUAUGUUGACAAUUGAUUUUGUAUUCAUUGUUAGUGACCUAAAAGACCUUUAAGAAUAAAUAAACAUAUUUUAAAACUGUCUGUAGUUUGCGUCAACCUAAGAAACCGCUAACUUCUGCAAUACCUUAUAUUCAACUGUGGAUAUCAUAACCGACACCGAAAAUUCUUACUGAGAGUUGAAAGUCCUAAUUUACUUUAUUUUUUUCGUUCCAGUGUUCAAAAACCGUAUUUCUUUGUUGAACAGUGUUAUUAAAAAUCAAUUUAAUUUGACGUUGGGUAUACAUAAUUAAAGGAAAUAUAUUAAUUUUUCAAUAUCAACAAAUUUAUAAAUUGAUGGUAAAAAAUCAUUAUAAUCGAUUUAUGCGAAAAAAUUGAAAAAAUCACAUUCAAAAAUAAAAUCUCGUAAAUUACACGCGCACGCACAUGUACAUACAUACUUGACUUAUUACAAUAAAUCUAUUGGAGGACAUAAAGACAUUA